rnacentral:rRNA from 1 species
GAUGAACGCUGGCGGCGUGCCUAAUACAUGCCAGUCGAGCGAACAGACGAGGAGCUUGCUCCUCUGACGUUAGCGGCGGACGGGUGAGUAACACGUGGAUAACCUACCUAUAAGACUGGGAUAACUUCGGGAAACCGGAGCUAAUACCGGAUAAUAUAUUGAACCGCAUGGUUCAAUAGUGAAAGACGGUUUUGCUGUCACUUAUAGAUGGAUCCGCGCCGCAUUAGCUAGUUGGUAAGGUAACGGCUUACCAAGGCAACGAUGCGUAGCCGACCUGAGAGGGUGAUCGGCCACACUGGAACUGAGACACGGUCCAGACUCCUACGGGAGGCAGCAGUAGGGAAUCUUCCGCAAUGGGCGAAAGCCUGACGGAGCAACGCCGCGUGAGUGAUGAAGGUCUUCGGAUCGUAAAACUCUGUUAUUAGGGAAGAACAAAUGUGUAAGUAACUAUGCACGUCUUGACGGUACCGAAUCAGAAAGCCACGGCUAACUACGUG